ACGGAAGGCAGCAGUGGGGGAUAUUGCACAAUGGAGGAAACUCUGAUGCAGCGACGCCGCGUGAGGGAAGACGGUUUUCGGAUUGUAAACCUCUGUCUUCAGGGACGAUAAUGACGGUACCUGAGGAGGAAGCCACGGCUAACUACGUGCCAGCAGCCGCGGUAAUACGUAGGUGGCGAGCGUUGUCCGGAAUUACUGGGUGUAAAGGGAGCGUAGGCGGGUAUGCAAGUUGAAUGUGAAAUCUAUCGGCUCAACUGAUAGGCUGCGUUCAAAACUGUAUAUCUUGAGUGAAGUAGAGGCAGGCGGAAUUCCUGGUGUAGCGGUGAAAUGCGUAGAUAUCAGGAGGAACACCGGUGGCGAAGGCGGCCUGCUGGGCUUUUACUGACGCUGAGGCUCGAAAGCGUGGGGAGCAAACAGGAUUAGAUACCCUGGUA
rnacentral:rRNA from 1 species